AUACUUACCUGGGUAGGGCCGAUUGCUGAUCACGGAGGGCAAUGACAUAGUAUGAACUUAACCAUUGCACCCCGUUGGUUUGGAAAAUUCUAGCACUUCCCCAACGGGAAUUGCACGUCAUAUUUUGUGGAAGAGGAGUGAUCGCGUUAGCGCGGCCCUCCG
rnacentral:snRNA from 1 species